GUGAAGUGGCGAAAUGGCAGACGCAUCCGACUUAAAAUCGGCCGGUCGAUGAGAUCAUGCGGGUUCGAGUCCCGCCUUCGGCACCA
rnacentral:tRNA from 1 species